rnacentral:rRNA from 1 species
AAGGUGAAAAGCCCCCCGACGAGGGGAGUGAAACAGUACCUGAAACCGAACGCCUACAAUCAGUUGGAGGGCCCUUGCGGCCUGACAGCGUACCUUUUGUAUAAUGGGUCAUCGACUUGGUCUAUCUAGCAAGCUUAAGCCGUUAGGUGUAGGCGCAGCGAAAGCGAGUCUUAAUAGGGCGAAUGAGUUAGUCGGAUUAGACCCGAAACCGAGUGAUCUAGGCAUGACCAGGAUGAAGAUUAGGUAACACUAAUUGGAGGUCCGAACCCACACCUGUUGAAAAAGGUCGGGAUGAGUUGUGCCUAGGGGUGAAAGGCCAAUCAAACUCGGAGAUAGCUGGUUCUCCGCGAAAGCUAUUUAGGUAGCGCGUCGCGUGUUGACCAUCGGGGGUAGAGCACUGGAUGGGCUAGGGGGG